UCUUCUCUCCCGUGCCACCAGGUCGCUGUUGCGUGAAUCCGGGCGGAUCCGGUCCCUAGGCGGCAUGAGGCUGCGGAUCCGACGAGGUCACGGCGGCGGCCGGCGGCUUUCUUGUUGUGCUCUCUGAGAGCCGCGGGAGGAGAAGGAACAGAGGAGGGAGGGAUGCGGCAGGGCGGCGGUUGCUUCGCUGUUGUUUUUGGCCGUGGGGAGGCGUGCUGAACCUGCAGGCUCGACCCAGCAGGAGCGGCAGGUGCAGAGGCGCGUGCGAGGAGCGCCAUCGGCCCAUCGUUCUUUCUUCGUCAGGAAGGGCGCAGCCUGCUACUCAAGCCUCUCUCCUUCUCUCCUUCCAGAGGAGAGGCACGGGCGCCCCCACACUGGAGAGAUGGACGAAGACAUGAAGCUUUCGCGGAGACGACGAGGUGGCCGCUGCUGCACCCCCAUGCCGUGGACACGAAGAUUCCCGUCCUCUCUGCCAUCGAUAACGACACUUCUCAUCGAUAACGGCACUUCUCGGCAGGCGCAGACCACAUGGCCGUCUUCCUCUCUGGCCCAUCAGAUUCAGACCCUAUCCCUCUUCCUCUGCAUCUCUGUUAAAAUAUGCUCAGGUCAACUAGGAGAUGAUGCAAGCCAAGGCGCUCACAGUGAUUUAAGAUGUUUGCUCUAUGUUUGGUCAUAUUGUUCCUAGCGGUCUUGGAAGUAUCUUCAAGUUUUAAUAGAUGCAAUCCACGGUCCUGAGAUCGGCAAAGUUUGUGGCAUCCUUCUUCCUUAUGUAUUGCGUCUAAUUGCCUUUGGUCAUAAAUAGCAAGACACUGAUGGAGGAGCCGUCCAGCUCAUGCUGUGACUGUUCCAGCUUUCUGUGCUAAGAAAUCACUGACUGCCAGGAAAGGGAAGUGGACUGUGUGCCAGAGAGCGGUUUAUCUUUGCCCGUCAACUACAUAUCAAUUGACAGACGAUCGACGAGGCUCUCUGUCGCAGCUGUGUGCCUGAUCAACAAGCCAAAUAUUUCGAGUCUGCUUGCUAACGUGUCUGAAGAGAAGAUAUCAGUGAUGGUGGACCUGGUGAUGAGGGCAUCAAGACAAAGAGAUUAAUUCACAACUUUGUUCUUGAUAGGUUGUCGCAUUCCUCGCAGAUUUACCACUCCUUCCCUCUCCUGGAAUCACUAAAUGAGAUCUUGGAAGCUAAUAGAGUUGAAGAAUCACAUGGUAAUGUACACACGAUGCAUUUCAUUUUCCCAAACACCUUCAGUGAACCUUGGCAUCUCCCCCCCACCCCAGCAGAACAUAUUACAAAGAUUGUGUAUGUAUGAUUGUCUUCAAACCUAGCCACUCUGAUUUGGCCUUUCUGAUCAUUUUGUUUAAUAGUCUCCAGUGCUUUGGUCGUUCGCUGUUAUGAUUCAAAUAUACCUUGGCUGUUGGACGUCCUAUUGAAAUGACACAAUCAUGCUUAUUUGUGUUGUGUCUGGAUUUUCAUGUAUGAGGACGCAUUUAAUCGAUGAUAUGAACACUCUUGCAGCUUAUCAGUGCUGGGAAGGAUCAAUUUAUAGUAUCUUCUGUAUACUUGCAUACCAUCCGUCCGUCAACUGAUGCGACGCUAAGAUGACGAGGUAAUAUCUCUUGUCCCCUCCUUCCCUCUCAUCAACUGAUGCCUCUUUCUUAGAAUUAAAUUUCUUUUGUAGCUUCAGUUCUGUUGUACCUUCAGUUCUGUUCAUACAUGAGUGUUUCUUCCUUCAUUUACAUGAAAAUAUUGUUGUAUAUGCAAGUUAAACCUGUGAUUUUUCUAUUGUUUUGGUUCAUCCAGUUUGUUCCUAGCCUAUACAUGCCUCGUGUUGUAUCUUGGUUGGUAGUGUAUCAUGAUAAUCAAGUUUCACUCACACACUGAUUGGCAAAACAAAAAAUUGGUCGGCAUAACUGGAUGUGGACACUUAGAAUCAGAUAGUGUGUAGGCUUUGGUUAGGAAUAUGCAUCAAAAUCAUAUAUUAUCCUGUCCGUAUAAAUAACCCAAACCCAGGUUUGUUGUAUCAUAAACACUUUCUGAAUUUAAACAACUACGGGCUUAUAGAAGCAUGUUGACAAGGUAAUGGCAGUCUAUCCAAUUAUC